GUUAAGUGGGAAACGAUGUGGGAAGGCCCAGACAGCCAGGAUGUUGGCUUAGAAGCAGCCAUCAUUUAAAGAAAGCGUAAUAGCUCACUGGUCGAGUCGGCCUGCGCGGAAGAUGUAACGGGGCUAAACUAUGCACCGAAGCUGCGGCAGCGACACUAUGUGUUGUUGGGUAGGGGAGCGUUCUGUAAGCCUGUGAAGGUGUGUCGUGAGGCAUGCUGGAGGUAUCAGAAGUGCGAAUGCUGACAUAAGUAACGAUAAAGCGGGUGAAAAGCCCGCUCGCCGGAAGACCAAGGGUUCCUGUCCAACGUUAAUCGGGGCAGGGUGAGUCGACCCCUAAGGCGAGGCCGAAAGGCGUAGUCGAUGGGAAACGGGUUAAUAUUCCCGUACUUGGUGUUACUGCGAAGGGGGGACGGAGAAGGCUAUGUUGGCCGGGCGACGGUUGUCCCGGUUUAAGCGUGUAGGUGUGUGUUCCAGGUAAAUCCGGUUCACUUUAACACUGAGGCGUGACGACGAGGCACUACGGUGCUGAAGCAACAAAUGCCCUGCUUCCAGGAAAAGCCUCUAAGCAUCAGGUAACAUCAAAUCGUACCCCAAACCGACACAGGUGGUCAGGUAGAGAAUACCAAGGCGCUUGAGAGAACUCGGGUGAAGGAACUAGGCAAAAUGGUGCCGUAACUUCGGGAGAAGGCACGCUGACACGUAGGUGAAGUGAUUUACUCAUGGAGCUGAAGUCAGUCGAAGAUACCAGCUGGCUGCAACUGUUUAUUAAAAACACAGCACUGUGCAAACACGAAAGUGGACGUAUACGGUGUGACGCCUGCCCGGUGCCGGAAGGUUAAUUGAUGGGGUCAGCGCAAGCGAAGCUCCUGAUCGAAGCCCCGGUAAACGGCGGCCGUAACUAUAACGGUCCUAAGGUAGCGAAAUUCCUUGUCGGGUAAGUUCCGACCUGCACGAAUGGCGUAAUGAUGGCCAGGCUGUCUCCACCCGAGACUCAGUGAAAUUGAACUCGCUGUGAAGAUGCAGUGUACCCGCGGCAAGACGGAAAGACCCCGUGAACCUUUACUAUAGCUUGACACUGAACAUUGAGCCUUGAUGUGUAG
rnacentral:rRNA from 2 species